rnacentral:rRNA from 1 species
GAUGAACGCUGGCGGCGUGCUUAACACAUGCGAGUCGAACGAUGAAGCCCAGCUUGCUGGGUGGAUUAGUGGCGAACGGGUGAGUAACACGUGAGUAACCUGCCCUUAACUCUGGGAUAAGCCUGGGAAACUGGGUCUAAUACCGGAUAGGAGCGUCCACCGCAUGGUGGGUGUUGAAAAGAUUUAUCGGUUUUGGAUGGGCUCGCGGCCUAUCAGCUUGUUGGUGAGGUAAUGGCUCACCAAGGCGACGACGGGUAGCCGGCCUGAGAGGGGGACCGGCCACACUGGGACUGAGACACGGCCCAGACUCCUACGGGAGGCAGCAGUGGGGAAUAUUGCACAAUGGGCGAAAGCCUGAUGCAGCGACGCCGCGUGAGGGAUGACGGCCUUCGGGUUGUAAACCUCUUUCAGUAGGGAAGAAGCGAAAGUGACGGUACCAACAGAAUAAGCACCGGCAAACUCUGUGCCAACAGCAGCCGCAG